rnacentral:rRNA from 1 species
GACGAACGCUGGCGGCGUGCCUAAUACAUGCAAGUAGAACGCUGAAGGAGGAGCUUGCUUCUCUGGAUGAGUUGCGAACGGGUGAGUAACGCGUAGGUAACCUGCCUGGUAGCGGGGGAUAACUAUUGGAAACGAUAGCUAAUACCGCAUAAUAGCAGUUAUUGCAUGAUAACUGUUUGAAAGGUGCAAUUGCACCACUACCAGAUGGACCUGCGUUGUAUUAGCUAGUUGGUGGGGUAACGGCUCGCCAAGGCGACGAUACAUAGCCGACCUGAGAGGGUGAUCGGCCACACUGGGACUGAGACACGGCCCAGACUCCUACGGGAGGCAGCAGUAGGGAAUCUUCGGCAAUGGACGGAAGUCUGACCGAGCAACGCCGCGGGAGUGAAGAAGGUUUUCGGAUCGUAAAGCUCUGUUGUAAGAGAAGAACGAGUGUGAGAGUGGAAAGUUCACACUGUGACGGUAGCUUACCAGAAAGGGACGGCUAACUACGUG